AAAAGAUGGUUCUGCUAUCACUCUUGGAUGGACCUGCGGUGCAUUAGCUAGUUGGUAAGGUAACGGCUUACCAAGGCAAUGAUGCAUAGCCGAGUUGAGAGACUGAUCGGCCACAUUGGGACUGAGACACGGCCCAAACUCCUACGGGAGGCAGCAGUAGGGAAUCUUCCACAAUGGACGCAAGUCUGAUGGAGCAACGCCGCGUGAGUGAAGAAGGGUUUCGGCUCGUAAAGCUCUGUUGGUAGUGAAGAAAGAUAGAGGUAGUAACUGGCCUUUAUUUGACGGUAAUUACCUAGAAAGUCACGGCUAACUACGUGCCAGCGGCCGCGGUAAUACGUAAGUGGCAAGCGUUGUCCGGAUUUAUUGGGCGUAAAGCGAGUGCAGGCGGUUCAAUAAGUCUGAUGUGAAAGCCUUCGGCUCAACCGGAGAAUUGCAUCAGAAACUGUUGAACUUGAGUGCAGAAGAGGAGAGUGGAACUCCAUGUGUAGCGGUGGAAUGCGUAGAUAUAUGGAAGAACACCGGUGGCGAAGGCGGCUCUCUGGUCUGCAACUGACGCUGAGGCUCGAAAGCAUGGGUAGCGAACAGGAUUAGAUACCCUGGUAGUCCAUGCCGUAAACGAUGAGUGCUAAGUGUUGGGAGGUUUCCGCCUCUCA
rnacentral:rRNA from 1 species